rnacentral:rRNA from 1 species
UACGUAGGGUGGGAGCGUUAAUCGGAAUUACUGGGCGUAAAGCGUGCGCAGGCGGUUUUGUAAGCCAGAAGGGGAAUCCCCGGGCUCAACCUGGGAAUGGCGUUUGGGACUGCAAGGCUGGAGUGUGGCAGAGGGGACUAGAAUUCCUGGUGUAGCAGUGAAAUGCGUAGAUAUCAGGAGGAAUACCGAUGGCGAAGGCAGGUCCCUGGGCUAACACUGACGCUCAUGCACGAAAGCGUGGGGAGCAAACAGG